CCUACGGGAGGCUGCAGUGAGGAAUAUUGGUCAAUGGACGGAAGUCUGAACCAGCCAUGCCGCGUGCAGGAAGACGGCUCUAUGAGUUUUAAACUGCUUUUGUACAAGGGUAAACCUGAAUACGUGUAUUCAGCUGAAAGUCCUGUUCGAAUACAGAUCGGCUAACUCCGUGCCGGCAGCCGCGGUAAUACGGAGGUUCCAAGCGUUAUCCGGAUGUAGUGGGUUUAAAGGGUGCGUAGGCGGAUUGAUAAGUUAGAGGUGAAAUGUCCGAGCUUAACUCGGGAACUGCCUCUAAUACUGUUGAUCUAGUGAGUAGAUGCGGUAGGCGGAAUGUAUGGCGUAGCGGAGAAAUG
rnacentral:rRNA from 1 species